CAUGCCUAACACAUGCAAGUCGAACGGAAACGACGAAAACAAUCCCUUCGGGGUGCGUCUUCGGGCGUCGAGUGGCGGACGGGUGAGUAACGCGUAGGAAUAUACCUUAUAGUGGGGGAUAACUCGGGGAUAACUCGAGCUAAUACCGCAUACGCCUCUACGGAGGGAAAGUGGGGGAUCUUCGGACCUCACGCUAUUAGAGUAGCCUGCGUUGGAUUAGCUUGUUGGUGAGGUAAAGGCCUCACCAAGGCGACGAUCCAUAGCUGGUCUGAGAGGACGAUCAGCCACACUGGAACUGAGACACGGUCCAGACUCCUACGGGAGGCAGCAGUGGGGAAUAUUGGACAAUGGGCGCAAGCCUGAUCCAGCAAUGCCGCGUGUGUGAAGAAGGCCUUAGGGUUGUAAAGCACUUUCAGUAGGGAAGAAAUGCGUGUAGUUAAUAACUGCGCGUCUUGACGGUACCUACAGAAGAAGCACCGGCUAACUCCGUGCCAGCAGCCGCGGUAAUACGGAGGGUGCAAGCGUUAAUCGGAAUUACUGGGCGUAAAGCGCGCGUAGGCGGCUAUAUAAGUCGGAUGUGAAAGCCCUGGGCUCAACCUGGGAACUGCAUUCGAUACUGUAUAGCUAGAGUUUGGUAGAGGGAAGUGGAAUUCCACAUGUAGCGGUGAAAUGCGUAGAUUUGUGGAGGAACACCAGUGGCGAAGGCGACUUCCCGACCAGAACUGACGCUGAGGUGCGAAAGCGUGGGUAGCAACAGGAUUAGAUACCCUGGUAGUCCACGCCGUAAACGAUGUCACUAGCCGUGGGGGGAAUUUUGUCCCUUAGUGGGCGCAGCUAACGCCGAUAAGUUGACCCGCCUGGGGGAGUACGGUCGCAAGAUUAAAACUUCAAAGGGAAUUGACGGGGGGCCCG
rnacentral:rRNA from 1 species